AGGUUAUUCGACAGCGGUUCGAUGCAGAAGUUCAAGAUUCUUUUCCACGAUAUCGAGAUAUCUAAUCUUGAUCGAAGAGAAAUUAGAUCAAAAAUAAGGAAAGACUUGAUUUCUCAAACGGGUAUUCGGGAACGAUGAAAUUGGACAAUAAAGCUGGUUCCUGGAGUUAAACAAAACGUAUCUGUUAAACGGAAUACUGUUACGAAAUCUGCUCGCCAAACAAGGGCACUGCCGUACUUCCGAAUGACAUCGUAGUCUGUUCUCUGUGUAACGGAUUCCCGGACUCGAGAUUGUCAAUCGAAACAGGACUUUCGACAUGCUUGUUACCACGUGACUUAAGCGUGUUCUAAGACAUGCCGAGUGGAGGCAGGGAGAUGAGGAGGGAGUUGGAAACUUUGAAUCUUGCAAACAGCCUCGAGGACUUGUUCGCCACCCUCGUGAAGACUAAUAAAGCUACGAACUGCGAAUACGGACGGUAAAUGGCGGGAUUGCUAGAUAAGAAGUGGUCACCACCCAUUAAAAUUAUCCGGUUACUUACGAGAAUGAAACUAAACUAAAUAUGGAAAUAAUUAAAAACAGCUUAAAGUGUACCAUUGGUCGCAAAAAUUUACACACACACUCGACGAAUUUUACGUAUCCGAUUUAUCAGAAGAAAUUAAAAAUGUAGUUUGUACAACAUUAUUUAGAGUUGUACGCAAAAUGAUCUUGCUCGAUAUAUUACGGUAUUUCUAAAAAGAAUAAAAAUAUAAAGCAUUUAUGAACAAAGAUCAUGCUCGGAAAGAACGAAACUUUUGGUUUUAUCGAUGUCAAGAAUAUUGCGGGCCGUGGGCUGUUAUUCUUAUUAGGACUUCCAACGUGUUAAUAUUAAAUCUACUUGUUUCGUGAAUUCAUUAGCUAGGAUCAAGACGCGUUCAAACAAAUGAGGGAGGCAUUUGAAAUCCUUACAGCGAGAAAGCAAUUAAAUUGGCGCCCCGCUGCUCUCUUCUUUCGUGGAAUCAGCCGGUGAGAAAGCGGUAAAAUUCGAUUAUUACCGAGCUUAAUGGCGCGGCUUAAACAUCUUUAGUUCAUCUUUGCCAAUGUCCAUCGCGAUUUUCGGCUUCACACUCGAAUGCUUGGCAAUUUUGUGAUCGUCAACGACUCGAAUGGAACGGUAGUUUUCACUGCCACGCAUUUGCGACGAGUUCCUUUUAAAAGCUAUAGUUUCGGGGUGCCGACUGUCAACAAGAAGAUCAAGAGGAUCAACGCUCUCUGUUGUUCCACGCGCCGCGCCGCCGAUGACUUGGGGACACUCGGGCUCACGGUGAAGAGGGAUAAGAUUUUUCUAGAAGGAUCUGAUCAUGGAACGCUGGCAAGCUGAUAAAUCCUCUGACAACAGAACUGACAAUGAGUGAAAAACCUCAGCACUUACCUCACAAUCUUCACGAGAUUCCCAUCGUCCAAGAUGGAUAUAUCGUCGAAUUUCGAGAUACGUAUUAUUUAACAAGUAGAAGAUAGAAAUUAGUCAAUUAAACAAUGAUGAUAGGAUACGUAGAAAUUGAAUUGAAAUCUGUGAAAUUAUUUAUUAAGUUUUGUAGUUAAGAAUUAAAUUUUAUCAACAAUGAAAUAAUUAAUUUAAUGUUCGUGGA